GACGAACGCUGGCGGCGUGCUUAACACAUGCAAGUCGAACGGUGAAGCGCCUUCCUUUUUGGUGGGUGUGGAUGAGUGGCGAACGGGUGAGUAACACGUGAGUAACCUGCCCCCUUCUUCUGGAUAACCGCAUGAAAGUGUGGCUAAUACGGGAUAUUCUGGGUCUGUCGCAUGAUGGGUCUGGGAAAGAUAUUGUUUCGGUGGGGGAUGGGCUCGCGGCCUAUCAGCUUGUUGGUGGGGUGGUGGCCUACCAAGGCGGUGACGGGUAGCCGGCCUGAGAGGUUGGACGGUCACACUGGGACUGAGACACGGCCCAGACUCCUACGGGAGGCAGCAGUGGGGAAUAUUGCACAAUGGGCGCAAGCCUGAUGCAGCGACGCCGCGUGAGGGAUGGAGGCCUUCGGGUUGUGAACCUCUUUCGCCAGUGAAGCAGGCCUGCCUCGUUUGUGGGUGGGUUGACGGUAGCUGGAUAAGAAGCGCCGGCUAACUACGUG
rnacentral:rRNA from 1 species